UGCCUGUCACCAUCAAUCCUCAGAUGGAAAUUCAGAGUGGAAAAGUACAGGUAUUCGAGUUUUAUCACUAGAACUCUUCGACAGCGUUAACAUCAACUCAAUCACCAUUUCAGAAACUGUGAUUUGUUUGUAGUUCACACAUACUUCUGAGCACUCGUAGAGUUCGUGUUGGUAAAAACGUGAGAUGAACAUGACCAAAAUAAAUCUACAUAUAAAACAAUCAGCAAAGAGCUUCAGAGCAGUUUGUUUUUUUUUUACAAUUCAACGAUAACAGAAACAGUGAACCGCCUAUAUUUAACAAACUGAGAGUGAGUCGCAGUAAUAACAUAUGGGCCUAAACCAUCUAACAAAGCAACCUCUUUUUUAUUGAGCUAUAGAGUAAAAAAUGGCGCAACAAUUUCAUGAUCGACAGCUGUUAUAAAUUUCCUACAUUUGUUUUCUGUCUCUGUGAAACCACUGUAACCCUUUAAUGCUUGAAACCACAAAUUAUGGCCAGAAAAUUCUAGUUUUUUUGGAGCUGAAAUGUUUAUUUUACUUACAAUCGAAAACCAAAAAAAAAAAAUAUAUAUAUAUAUCCUUAAAAUUUAACAAAUAUAUUUAUUUAUCUCGUUUGAUACACUAAUAAACUAAAAGAGGACAUUUUUUAAUCAUCUAUCGGGCUGUAUUCAGGUGUUUUCUUUUAGUAAUUUGUUGAUCAUAAAAGUAUUUAUCAAAUAAGGUAAAAAAAAAAGGCAUUUAACCCAUUUUUGUUCAGGCAUUAAUACGGGCAGUUUUGAGGCGGGGGGGUCCUCAAUCUUUUAGCGACACUGAUUACCGCCAAAACCCGCGAUCACAUACCAAGUUGACCUUUUAAGUUGAUUGUUAUGCGGUCAUGAAGAGGUAAGUAAUGUUAACUUUGUAUAUGUUGAAUGAGUGUGUGUGUUCAACCGAGUAGAGUUCGUGAAUUGCAUAAAGUUCGUUUAUAUUUUACCGAGGUUAGCAUACUUACAUAUCGCGUUACUGAGGCUAAUACACCGUUGAUACCUGUUAGACAGACAGACAGAACAUGAGAGCUGUGAAACGCUGCUAAAAUGAAGACAACGAAGGGAUAACUAAAAUUCUGUGUCUUGGCUUCACUCUCUGAUCGGACCAUAGACAUACACACACACACACACACACACACACAUAUAUAUAUAUAUAUAUAUAUAUAUAUAUAUAUAUAUAUAAAGGCUAAAUGAAUUGAGGCGGAGUCACCGGCGUCCCUACACGGCGGCCAUCUUACUCCAGUAUACCAUUCUGGAACAUAACUAAACGUGCGGAACGUGCGGGAACAUAACUAAAACUCUUGGGUUUGUUACAAACCAAACCGUUUGAAAAUCGGUUUAAAAUUAACCAAUCUAUGGUUAUUUAAAUGCUACAUGCACCGUAGACUGGAAUUUUAGGAGUAGGCGGGCUGCCUGACGCAAAAUGGCCGCCAUAUGCAGAGUCGGCAACUUCCGGUCAUCGUCCAAACUCCUCAGCUUCCUUUACGUUCGGGAGUUUACCUGUUUACUCACCUUUUUCACCUCCGCUGUGACUGCACAAAGAGCAUAUGUCGUGUUUCAGCGAGUCAAACUCUGCGGUUCUCGGUGAGCAUUCUGUCUUUUUUAUUGAAAAACCCUUUGUUGUUAUGUUGUUGUGUCGCAGUCGCUAACUCCAUUUAAUGCCUCCCAGAGUGUCAUGCGGUGUUCGCUAUCGGGCGGUGAGAGAAAGAGGGAGUAUAAAACGGAAGAUAAUUAAGUGUUAAAUGUUGUUUAAAGAAGAGCCGAAUUAUAGGCAAUAGAUUAUCAUUGCGGUCGCUCGUUUUGUUUUCCUGUGAUGUGUUUGAUUUGAGCAGCUUCAGCAUGUUUUUGUAGAUACAUGCUAAACUGCAAUGAGGUUUGGUCAAGGCUGAACGCGAUCACUGAAUAAUUUGGAUAAUUAAUGUCUCGCAACUAGAUUUGUUACUGAUCUCGCUUGGGUAUGUAACUCUUUGAUUUUGAAAAUGUUUAAAAUCCACUUUGACUCCUUUUUUACUUGAAUUAUUGAUAUUUUCUUGGGAUUUAGUAUUUGAAUAUUCAGUAAUGUAUUUCUUUUGUGUGUAAUAGAUGCAUUGAAUUUCUUUUUGUUUACUUUAAAAGUAGUGAAUAAUUUUGAUGAAAAUGAUAUUCAUUUAUGUUUUGGCCUUUUUUUUAGGUCGGGAUUUUGUAAGGGAUCAUCACUGUCAACUCUACCUACAUCACAGCUACAAUUCAGCCAGUCCUGCCACAUUCAACCUAACCAGAUGGUGAGCUAACCCCUGGAUUUUAUGGUGUUGUUGAACAUCCAAAUUUGGAUUAUGUGGUAAUUUAUUUAUCCUGGGUAUUAGGUUGGCAUUAGUUAGGAGUUUUUUUUUCCUUUCCUCUUGGCCAAAAUCUCUAUUUUUAAUUUGCAAUAACUGUUUUGCUUUCUUUGUGUUGUUCAUUCUUUAAAAAUAUUGCUUCAAUACAAAACAUAAAACAAAACCAUAUCUUGUCUGUGAAUCAUUCACCCACUCCUCUGGCUCCUUAAGAACCAGAUUCUUCUGAUGCAAAUAUACACAGCCCAUAAGUAGUGUUUUAUGGAUGUAGUGUCCCAGCAUUAUUGAAUAAUAAUUAGGGUUGCAAAGGGGCGGCAAAUU